rnacentral:rRNA from 1 species
UACAGAGGUCUCAAGCGUUGUUCGGAUUCAUUGGGCGUAAAGGGUGCGUAGGUGGCGCGGUAAGUCGGGUGUGAAAUCUCGGAGCUUAACUCCGAAAUUGCAUUCGAUACUGCCGUGCUCGAGGACUGGAGAGGAGACUGGAAUUCAUGGUGUAGCAGUGGAAUGCGUAGAGAUCAUGAGGAAGACCAGUGGCGAAGGCGGGUCUCUGGACAGUUCCUGACACUGAGGCACGAAGGCCAGGGGAGCAAACGGG